CUGGGAUUACAGGUGCCUGCUACCACACCCGGAUGACUGCAGUCAAAAAGAUGGAAAAUUACAAGUGCUGUUGAGGAUGUGAAACAAUUGGAAGCUUCAUACACUACUGGUUGGAAAGUAAAAUGGUGCAGUCACUUUGGGAAAGUUUGGCAGUUCUUCAAAUGGUUAAACGUAGAGCUACUAUAUGGCCUAGCAAUUCCCCUUACAGGCAUAUGCCCAAGAUAAUUGAAAAUAUAUGUUCAGGGCUACCCUCUUUGGGUCCCCUCCCUUUGUAUGGGAGCUCUGUUUUCACUCUAUUAAGUCUUGCUUCUGCAGUCUUCUGGUCCAUAUUUGUUACGGCUCCAGCUGAGCUUUUGCUCGCCGUCCACCCCUGUUGUUUGCCGCUGUCGCAGACCCGCCGCUGACUUCCAUCCCUCCGGAUCCAGCAGGGUGUCUGCUGUGCUCCUGAUCCAGCGAGGCGCCCAUUGCCACUCCUGAUCGGACUGAAGGCUUGCCAUUGUUCCUGCACGGCUAAGAGCCUGGGUUCGUCCUAAUCGAGCUGAACACUAGUCACUGGGUUCCACGGUUCUCUUCCGUGACCCACGGCUUCUAAUAGAGCUAUAACACUCACCGCAUGGCCCAAGAUUCCAUUCCUUGGAAUCCGUGAGGCCAAGAACCCCAGGUCAGAGAACACGAGGCUUGCCACCGUCUUGGAAGCAGCCUGCCACUAUCGGGAGCUCUGGGAGUAAGGACCCCCAGUAACAUUUGGUGACCACGAAGGGAUCUCCAAAGCAAUGGGAAACGUUCCCCCCAAGGCAGAAACGCCCCUGAGAUGUAUUCUGGAGAAUUGGGACCAACUGGACUCUCACAUGCUAAGAAAUAAACGACUUAUAUUCUUCUGCAGUA
rnacentral:lncRNA from 1 species